UUGCAGAGUGGUUGCAUUCACAACCCAGGGAGCUCUGGCAAGGAGCCUCCAAGCAAUCCUACUGCAGAGUGAAAAGCAAACCUCUUCCUAGUACAAGAACUCAGCCAUUCUAGGGCUGAUUGUUAGCGACCUUUGUACUGAUGACCUCUGUUAAUCUCAAAGUGUUGUUGGGGCGUAAAGGCAUCGUCUGUUGCACCUAUUUACCCAAUGGAGUUAAGAAUUCUGCUGUUGACCUGGUUCCCAUGGACUUAGCCAAAGAACCAUACAGAACUUCUAGUGGGAUAUGACCACUAUGAUUGGCGACUCAGUAACAGAAAACAGAUGGCAGUGUCACAGGCUGAAACUGUAACAUUAAGUAUAGUAGUUAUCUGUUGUCACACAAUGAGGAUACAUACACUAUAGGCAUAAGGCAGGCAAGAAUACUGAGUUGCUGUUAAGAAAGG